rnacentral:rRNA from 1 species
GAUGAACGCUGGCGGCGUGCCUAAUACAUGCAAGUCGAGCGAACAGAUAAGGAGCUUGCUCCUUUGACGUUAGCGGCGGACGGGUGAGUAACACGUGGGUAACCUACCUAUAAGACUGGGAUAACUUCGGGAAACCGGAGCUAAUACCGGAUAAUAUUUCGAACCGCAUGGUUCGAUAGUGAAAGAUGGUUUUGCUAUCACUUAUAGAUGGACCCGCGCCGUAUUAGCUAGUUGGUAAGGUAACGGCUUACCAAGGCGACGAUUCGUAGCCGACCUGAGAGGGUGAUCGGCCACACUGGAACUGAGACACGGUCCAGACUCCUACGGGAGGCAGCAGUAGGGAAUCUUCCGCAAUGGGCGAAAGCCUUACGGAGCAACGCCGCGUGAGUGAUGACGGUCUUCGGAUCGUAAAACUCUGUUAUUAGGGAAGAACAUCCGUGUAAGUAACUGUGCACGUCUUGACGGUAACUAAUCAGAAAGCCACGGCUAACUACGUG